rnacentral:sRNA from 1 species
GAAUUCUACACAACUCUAACCCAUCCUCAGAAACCUAUUCACUACUCAGACAUCAUAACACAAAGCAUAAACGUUGAACAAGUUGAAAACAUGAUAACAAG